CGCACCUUGCGCUCCUUGGUAUUCCGAGGAGCAUGCCUGUUUGAGUGUCAUGUAAUUAUCAACUCCCUUUCUUUGCUGAAAGGUGAGCUUGGACUUGGGGACUUGCCGGUGAUUCAUUGGCUUCCCUUGAAUGCAUUAGCUGGUCAUUGAUUUGCAGCAUAUAUGCGGUGUGAUAAUGUCGUCACUGUGUAGCUCAAGUCAUCUGGCUUCUAAUUGUCUUUGCAGACACUUUGAUCAAUUUGACCUCAAAUCAGGUAGGACUACCCGCUGAACUUAA
rnacentral:misc_RNA from 1 species